AUUGAACGCUGGCGGCAUGCCUUACACAUGCAAGUCGAACGGUAACAGGGAGCUUGCUCCGCUGACGAGUGGCGAACGGGUGAGUAAUGCGUCGGAACGUGCCGAGUAGUGGGGGAUAACGCAGCGAAAGUUGUGCUAAUACCGCAUACGUACUGAGGUAGAAAGUGGGGGACCUUCGGGCCUCACGCUAUUCGAGCGGCCGACGUCUGAUUAGCUAGUAGGUGAGGUAAAGGCUCACCUAGGCGACGAUCAGUAGCGGGUCUGAGAGGAUGAUCCGCCACACUGGGACUGGGACACGGCCCAGACUCCUACGGGAGGCAGCAGUGGGGAAUUUUGGACGAUGGGCGAAAGCCUGAUCCAGCCAUGCCGCGUGUCUGAAGAAGGCCUUCGGGUUGUAAAGGACUUUUGUCAGGGAGGAAAUCCCUAGCGUUAAUACCGCUGGGGGAUGGCAGUACCUGAAGAAUAAGCACCGGCUAACUACGUGCCAGCAGCCGCCGUAAUAC
rnacentral:rRNA from 1 species